UUGGAGGGCAAGUCUGGUGCCAGCAGCCGCGGUAAUUCCAGCUCCAAUAGCGUAUAUUAAAGUUGCUGCAGUUAAAAAGCUCGUAGUUGAAUUUCGGGACCAUCAUGUCGGUCGUGCCUCGGUACGUACUGGCAUCGUUGGUUUCUCCCUUCUGACGAACCAUGAUGUCAUUUAUUUGGUGUUGUGGGGAAUCAGGACUGUUACUUUGAAAAAAUUAGAGUGUUUAAAGCAGGCUAACGCUUGAAUACAUUAGCAUGGAAUAAUGAAAUAGGACGUUUGAUUCUAUUUUGUUGGUUUCUAGGAUUGACGUAAUGAUUAAUAGGGAUAGUUGGGGGCAUUAGUAUUCAAUUGUCAGAGGUGAAAUUCUUGGAUUUAUUGAAGACUAACUACUGCGAAAGCAUUUGCCAAGGAUGUUUUCAUUAAUCAAGAACGAAAGUUAGGGGAUCGAAGACGAUCAGAUACCGUCGUAGUCUUAACCAUAAACUAUGCCGACUAGGGAUCGGAUGAUGUUAAUUUAAUGACUCAUUCGGCGCCUUACGGGAAAC
rnacentral:rRNA from 1 species